GUUUAUUAUUGUUAUUAGUGGGUAUAGCACUGAAUAUCUUAUAGAGAAAGGGAGUAUGAAAGUAUUUACCUUGGAUAUUUAAUCUCAGAAUAACUAAUUAAUGAAGAUGAACUAUCAGACUUUUUGCGAUAAGGUGGAAAGUCUAAAGGGAAACAGCCCAGAAUAAUAGAUAAAGUUCCGGAAUUGUUACUCAGUGAAAGAAAAG
rnacentral:rRNA from 1 species